AUGUGACCGUUCCAAAGUGCCGGUAUCAGGGGUUGAAGCCGGCCGCGCAGGAUGAGUGAGACGCCCCCCAUGUCCACCGGGCCUGCCCUAUUGC
rnacentral:sRNA from 1 species